rnacentral:rRNA from 1 species
CUUGCUCUUAUGAAGUUAGCGGCGGACGGGUGAGUAACACGUGGGUAACCUGCCCAUAAGACUGGGAUAACUCCGGGAAACCGGGGCUAAUACCGGAUAACAUUUUGAACCGCAUGGUUCGAAAUUGAAAGGCGGCUUCGGCUGUCACUUAUGGAUGGACCCGCGUCGCAUUAGCUAGUUGGUGAGGUAACGGCUCACCAAGGCAACGAUGCGUAGCCGACCUGAGAGGGUGAUCGGCCACACUGGGACUGAGACACGGCCCAGACUCCUACGGGAGGCAGCAGUAGGGAAUCUUCCGCAAUGGACGAAAGUCUGACGGAGCAACGCCGCGUGAGUGAUGAAGGCUUUCGGGUCGUAAAACUCUGUUGUUAGGGAAGAACAAGUGCUAGUUGAAUAAGCUGGCACCUUGACGGUACCUAACCAGAAAGCCACGGCUAACUACGUGCCAGCAGCCGCGGUAAUACGUAGGUGGCAAGCGUUAUCCGGAAUUAUUGGGCGUAGAGCGCGCGCAGGUGGUUUCUUAAGUCUGAUGUGAAAGCCCACGGCUCACCCGUGGAGGGUCAUUGGAAACUGGGAGACUUGAGUGCAGAAGGAGGAAAGUGGAAUUCCAUGUGUAGCGGUGAAAUGCGUAGAGAUAUGGAGG